rnacentral:rRNA from 1 species
AUUGAACGCUGGCGGCAUGCCUUACACAUGCAAGUCGAACGGCAGCACGGGAGCAAUCCUGGUGGCGAGUGGCGAACGGGUGAGUAAUAUAUCGGAACGUGCCCAGUCGUGGGGGAUAACGUAGCGAAAGCUACGCUAAUACCGCAUACGAUCUAUGGAUGAAAGCGGGGGGAUCGCAAGACCUCGCGCGAUUGGAGCGGCCGAUAUCAGAUUAGGUAGUUGGUGAGGUAAAGGCUCACCAAGCCGACGAUCUGUAGCUGGUCUGAGAGGACGACCAGCCACACUGGGACUGAGACACGGCCCAGACUCCUACGGGAGGCAGCAGUGGGGAAUUUUGGACAAUGGGCGCAAGCCUGAUCCAGCAAUGCCGCGUGCAGGAUGAAGGCC